rnacentral:rRNA from 1 species
UACGUAGGGUGCAAGCGUUGUCCGGAAUUAUUGGGCGUAAAGAGCUUGUAGGCGGUUUGUCGCGUCUGCCGUGAAAGCCCAGGGCUUAACCCUGGGUCUGCGGUGGGUACGGGCAGACUAGAGUGUGGUAGGGGAGACUGGAAUUCCUGGUGUAGCGGUGAAAUGCGCAGAUAUCAGGAGGAACACCGAUGGCGAAGGCAGGUCUCUGGGCCACUACUGACGCUGAGAAGCGAAAGCAUGGGGAGCAAACAGG